rnacentral:tRNA from 1 species
UUCUCUGUGGCGCAAUUGGUUAGCGUGUUUGGCUGUUAACCGUAAAGGUUGGUGGUUCAAGCCCACCCAGGGAUG